AUGGCCUACCAAGGCGACGACGGGUAGCCGGCCUGAGAGGGCGACCGGCCACACUGGGACUGAGACACGGCCCAGACUCCUACGGGAGGCAGCAGUGGGGAAUAUUGCACAAUGGGCGAAAGCCUGAUGCAGCGACGCCGCGUGAGGGAUGACGGCCUUCGGGUUGUAAACCUCUUUCAGCAGGGAAGAAGCGACUGGGUUUUCCCGGACGUGACGGUACCUGCAGAAGAAGCGCCGGCUAACUACGUGCCAGCAGCCGCGGUAAUACGUAGGGCGCAAGCGUUGUCCGGAAUUAUUGGGCGUAAAGAGCUCGUAGGCGGCUUGUCACGUCGGAUGUGAAAGCCCGGGGCUUAACCCCGGUCUGCAUUCGAUACGGGCAGGCUAGAGUGUGGUAGGGGAGAUCGGAAUUCCUGGUGUAGCGGUGAAAUGCGCAGAUAUCAGGAGGAACACCGGUGGCGAAGGCGGAUCUCUGGGCCAUUACUGACGCUGAGGAGCGAAAGCGUGGGGAGCGAACAGGAUUAGAUACCCUGGUAGUC
rnacentral:rRNA from 1 species